GACGAACGCUGGCGGCAUGCCUAAUACAUGCAAGUCGAGCGAACAGAUGAAGUGCUUGCACUUCUGACGUUAGCGGCGAACGGGUGAGUAACACGUAAGGAAUCUACCUAUAAGCGGGGGAUAACAUUCGGAAACGGGUGCUAAUACCGCAUAAUAUCUUCUUCCGCAUGGAAGAAGAUUGAAAGACGGCUCUGCUGUCACUUAUAGAUGACCUUGCGGUGCAUUAGUUAGUUGGUGGGGUAAUGGCCUACCAAGACGAUGAUGCAUAGCCGACCUGAGAGGGUGAGCGGCCACAUUGGGACUGAGACACGGCCCAAACUCCUACGGGAGGCAGCAGUAGGGAAUCUUCCGCAAUGGGCGAAAGCCUGACGGAGCAAUGCCGCGUGAGUGAAGAAGGCCUUCGGGUCGUAAAACUCUGUUAUAAGAGAAGAACAAACUGUAGAGUAACUGCUACAGUCUUGACGGUAUCUUAUCAGAAAGCCACGGCUAACUACGUGCCAGCCGCCGCUGUAA
rnacentral:rRNA from 1 species